GAGUUUGAUCGUGGCUCAGAUUGAACGCUGGCGGCAUGCCUUACACAUGCAAGUCGAACGGCAGCACGGGAGCUUGCUCCUGGUGGCGAGUGGCGAACGGGUGAGUAAUGCAUCGGAACGUAUCCGGGAGUGGGGGAUAACGUAGCGAAAGUUACGCUAAUACCGCAUAUUCUGUGAGCAGGAAAGCGGGGGACCUUCGGGCCUCGCGCUCUUGGAGCGGCCGAUGUCGGAUUAGCUAGUUGGUGAGGUAAAGGCUCACCAAGGCGACGAUCCGUAGCAGGUCUGAGAGGAUGAUCUGCCACACUGGAACUGAGACACGGUCCAGACUCCUACGGGAGGCAGCGAGUGGGGAAUUUUGGACAAUGGGGGCAACCCUGAUCCAGCCAUGCCGCGUGAGUGAAGAAGGCCUUCGGUUGUAAACGUAC
rnacentral:rRNA from 1 species